CAGCAGCCACGGUAAAACCAGCAGCCCAAGUGGUGGUCGCGAUUAUUGGGCCUAAAGCGCUCGUAGCCGGGCCGGUAAGUCCCUUGUGAAAUCGGACGGCCUAACCGUUCGGCGUGCAAGGGAUACUGUCGGUCUUGAGGCCGGGAGACGUCCGAGGUACUCCGGGGGUAGCGGUGAAAUGUUCUGAUCCUCGGGGGACCACCGGUGGCGAAGGCGUUCGACGAGAACGGGCCUGACGGUGAGGGGCGAAGGCUAGGGGAGCAAACGGGAUUAGAUACCCCUGUAGUCCCUGUCUCUUAUU
rnacentral:rRNA from 1 species